ACCAGACCACCCCCCCAGACCAGGAAAUUAUAACCCUAACCCUUUUCCCCAUAGACCCGCAGCCUCUACCACUCACAAAAACACAAACCUCACUAUCCACCCCAGGCCCACCAUCCACCCCAGGCCAAUCCAUCCAACCUCGACAAAGGAAAAGACGAACCGCAGGCACAAGUGCCACUCAAUCUGCCCCACCCUCCACCCUUGGCAAAAAG